rnacentral:lncRNA from 1 species
AGGAGGGUUAAAGUUUAAUUAGAUUAAUAAUUUUAUACAGAACAGACAUGUUCAAGAUGGAGUCCAUCAGUAGUUUGUUGUUGUAUUUAUGCAGCUGAGAUCAAAUCAUCACAAAAUGUUACCUUUUAUUAUUUCAGUGUUUCUCGGUGGUCAGAUCUUUCUAAAGGAAUCAGGUUCUUUGUGAAUCUGUUCUGUGCAGCAGCAGAGAGAGAACAGCAGACAGGAGAGAAGACACUGGAGCUGUUAUCAUCAGUGUGCAGAGAUCAAACAUUCCCUUUAAAAGACAUGUAUGAUGAUGAAUAUCAGAGCGAUUUCCUGCUGGAUCUGUACUCCCACCUGAAGGACUGUGAGACUAAAACAGGUCUGAGUCUCCUUCCAUCAUUACAGUCAGUUUUCCAGUCAGCUCCUGCAGUCUGGAUCAUAAACCUCUCAGAGAGAAAGAGCUCCAUCCUCCUGGAAGUGCUGAAACUCCAAUCAGAGAAGAAACAAGUGGAGCUGACAGGCUGCUCAGAUGAAGAGAGUGAAGUGAGGAGUUUCCUACAGUGUCUGCCUUAUAUCUCACAGCUCAGUGUUCCUCGGUGGUCAGAUCUUUCUAAAGGAAUCAGGAUCUUUGUGAAUCUGUUCUGUGCAGCAGCAGAGAGAGAACAGCAGACAGGAGAGAAGACACUGGAGCUGUUAUCAUCAGUGUGCAGAUACAAAACAUUCCCUUUAAAAUAUGAGGAGGAUUAUAAUAUUGUCAACUUAAAUGAAUAUCAGAGUAAUUUCCUGCUGGAUCUGUACUCCCACCUGAAGGACUAUGAGACUAAAACAGGUCUGAGUCUCCUUCCAUCAUUACAGUCAGUUUUCCAGUCAGCUCCUGCAGUCUGGAUCAUAAACCUCUCAGAGAGAAAGAGCUCCAUCCUCCUGGAAGUGCUGAAACUCCAAUCAGAGAAGAAACAAGUGGUGCUGAGAGGCUGCUCAGAUGAAGAGAGUGAAGUGAGGAGUUUCCUACAGUGUCUGCCUUAUAUCUCACAGCUCAGUGUUCCUCGGUGGUCAGAUCUUUCUAAAGGAAUCAGGAUCUUUGUGAAUCUGUUCUGUGCAGCAGCAGAGAGAGAACAGCAGACAGGAGAGAAGACACUGGAGCUGUUAUCAUCAGUGUGCAGAUACAAAACAUUCCCUUUAAAAGACAUGUAUGAUGAUGAAUAUCGGAGUAAUUUCCUGCUGGAUCUGUACUCCCACCUGAAGGACUAUGAGACUAAAACAGGUCUGAGUCUCCUUCCAUCAUUACAGUCAGUUUUCCAGUCAGCUGCUGCAGUCUGGAUCAUAAACCUCUCAGAGAGAAAGAGCUCCAUCCUCCUGGAAGUGCUGAAACUCCAAUCAGAGAAGAAACAAGUGGAGCUGACAGGCUGCUCAGAUGAAGAGAGUGAAGUGAGGAGUUUCCUACAGUGUCUGCCUUAUAUCUCACAGCUCGGUGUUUCUCGGUGGUCAGAUCUUUCUAAAGGAAUCAGGUUCUUUGUGAAUCUGUUCUGUGCAGCAGCAGAGAGAGAACAGCAGACAGGAGAGAAGACACUGGAGCUGUUAUCAUCAGUGUGCAGAUACAAAACAUUCCCUUUAAAAGACAUGUAUGAUGAUGAAUAUCGGAGUAAUUUCCUGCUGGAUCUGUACUCCCACCUGAAGGAUUAUGAGACUAAAACAGGUCUGAGUCUCCUUCCAUCAUUACAGUCAGUUUUCCAGUCAGCUGCUGCAGUCUGGAUCAUAAACCUCUCAGAGAGAAAGAGCUCCAUCCUCCUGGAAGUGCUGAAACUCCAAUCAGAGAAGAAACAAGUGGAGCUGACAGGCUGCUCAGAUGAAGAGAGUGAAGUGAGGAGUUUCCUACAGUGUCUGCCUUAUAUCUCACAGCUCAGUGUUUCUCGGUGGUCAGAUCUUUCUAAAGGAAUCAGGUUCUUUGUGAAUCUGUUCUGUGCAGCAGCAGAGAGAGAACAGCAGACAGGAGAGAAGACACUGGAGCUGUUAUCAUCAGUGUGCAGAUACAAAACAUUCCCUUUAAAAUAUGAUAAUGAUGGAUAUCAGAGUUAUUUCCUGCUGGAUCUGUACUCCCACCUGAAGGACUGUGAGACUAAAACAGGUCUGAGUCUCCUUCCAUCAUCACAGUCAGUUUUCCAGUCAGCUCCUGCAGUCUGGAUCAUAAACCUCUCAGAGAGAAAGAGCUCCAUCCUCCUGGAAGUGCUGAAACUCCAAUCAGAGAAGAAACAAGUGGAGCUGAGAGGCUGCUCAGAUGAAGAGAGUGAAGUGAGGAGUUUCCUACAGUGUCUGCCUUAUAUCUCACAGCUCAGCUGUGAUCCCGAGUUCUUCCAGAGAGUGUGUUCACUGAUCUCUGUCAGAUCCAGAGAGGAGGCCGAGCAGUUGGCCUCUGUGCUGCAGCUGCUGGGCUUCAGCCUGCUGUUAACAGGAGACUUACGCAGGAAAACCUGCCGGUCUGUGGGGACAGUUGUCAGACUUUGUGGCUCUGAUGUAAAUCUCAUCCUCACACCAAGAAAGAUGUCUGUCAGAGGAGCCUCCCUCCUCUUUAGACGUACAACACAACUUCACAGUCUGAAGCUUUCCAUAGACAUGACCUUGUUAAUGUGUCGAUGGGUCAGAAGAGGGAGAGUGGCCUGUCGGCUGACUAUGGAAGAGCUUUCUCUCUCCUCUCAGACUGCCCAGCCAUCAGAGAGAGUGUUGUUGAAGGUUGUCAGUAGUUUGGCUUCCCUGCUGAGAUACUGGACAGUCAGACGGUUAGACCUGACGGAGUUCUGUGUUCCUGCUCAGGGUCUCAUUCCUCUGCUGCUUCAUGAUGGUCCUCUAACAAUCAAACUGAGUGAGAAGGUUUUGCAGCCGCUACUCUCCCUCCUCCAUGAAAUCCAGGAUGAGGCCUUGACCCGUUCCUUCUUGAGGAAGGUUGGUGGAGAGCUGACGUCCUGCUGUCUGAACUGGGAGCUCCUUCACUAUCUGCUGCUGCAGUCGUCAGCUCACACCAUCACUGUGAACAUGAGGAAGAACCGCUUCUUACAGGAGAGCGUCACACGUCUGCUUCCCUUUCUGGACAGGAUUGUGUUCAAAAAACCCUGUUCCAGCUUUGUGUUGACCACCAUCAGAGAGAUCUAUAAAGCUGGAGCCAGUCCCGUUAUACCCAGUUUACUGAGGUCAUUGGAUGAUGUCAUCAACCUGACCUGCAGAGAGAUGGACUCGGAGGACUUUGCUGCUCUGCUCUUCACCCUCAGACACAGUGACCGAGUUCAACUGAACCUCACGUGGACCUCCAUACCAGCAGGGGAAAUAAAGUCCAUCCUCUUAAUGCUGGACAAAGUCUCUCAUCUCAGUGUUGACAGGAAUCAGCUGCUGAGGUUGGUCCACUGCUGCGCUGCCUCUGAGGCCCAGCAGGGGGCAGCAGCCGGCCUGCUCAGGACUCUGCAGCACAGGCUGGAUCUGUCCUGCUGCUCCAGUGUGGAGCUGGAUCAUCAGAGUGACUCUCUCAGUCUGACUGCUGAGGACUGCAGGGCCGUCUCCACCAUCCUGACACACAGCAGCAGAGACACACAGCUCAUCCUGCAGGACUGUGAGCUGGAGGACAGCGGCCUGGACCUGCUGUUUCCUGUCCUGCACAGAGUCCGUCUCAGAGCCAGUAAAGCUGUCCUCCUCCGGCUGGUGUCCCUGGUUCCUGUGAACAGUGAGAGGGACUCAGUGAGACGGGCAGUGUCCCUCCGUACAGCCCUGGAUGGAGAGCUGGACCUCAGUCACAGCACACUGGAUCAGAGGGCCUGUGGAGCUCUGGCCCUGAUGCUGGACUUCAGUGAAGAGCUGCCAGAGCUGGACCUGAGUCACUGUGGACUCACUGAUCAGCUGCUGCUCACACUCAGCGCACAUCUGCACAAAGUACAAGUCCUGGAUCUGAGUCACAAUAACAUCACGGAUGCUUCAACUGACAUGUUACUGCGACUGUCCAUCAACCCCUCCACUGACACCGUGCGACUCUUCGGGAACAACAUUGUGGACAGAACCUCCUUUAAGGAAGACCAGCGCUUUGAGAUCUGGUGAAGCAGUCGUCAGUGUGUAAGAUCUCCUUCUACCACCUCAGGAACAUUUCCAAACUCCGUCUCACACUCUGUCAGAUGCAGAAUAACACCGUCCACAGCUUUGCCUCCUGAAGGUGGGACUACUGUAACGUUCUCGUCAUCAGGACUUCUAGCUGAGCCUUCGAGAGCUUCACUACAUCCAGAACAGCGCCGCUAGGAUCCUAAUGAAGGUACGAAAAUACCACCACAUCACACCCAUCCUUCACUCUCUCCACUGGCUUCCUGUCUCGUUCAGGAUCAAGUACAACAUCUCGCUGCUCACCCAUCAGUGUAUCCAUGGAAACGCCCCUCCCUACCUCACACCACAAACCUCCUGACGUGACCUCCGCUCCAGAAACAAAGUCCUUCUUCUGCUCAGCCGCUCCUCUUCUGUGGAGUUCCUCCCAGACCACCUGAGGGCUCCUUCAGGGACACAAACAUAUUUCUCUUUCAGAAAGCCUUCUCCUAAACUUUGUAUUUUUAUGCUCCUGUUUUUAAUAUUGUUUACUCUGUAGCACUUUGGGAUUGCUUUUAACAAAGAAAAGUGAAACAUCAGGAUUUAUCUCUUUUAUUUAUGAUGACUGAGAUUGUUCUGUUGGGAUCAUCUUUAUAAUGACUGUUUUUGUAUUUUGUAAUAACACGUCAGGAUCUCAGGAGAAUUAUCUUAAAAUGUGAAUAUGAGUAUGAUUUUAGUUUUGGUUUUAAAGAGACUGACUUUGUGUCAGGAACAGACCUCGUUCUGAGACUCGGAGACCCAGGUUCAUAUUUUCUGGAAAUGCAAUAACUAUUCUAAAGUCUUGUGAAAUGUAGAGCUCUAAAUAUGUUCAAUAAAUACUUGAUAUGAAAGGGUCAAACGCCUGCAGCCACAUUAAAUGUAAUGCUGUAUUUUGACAUAUGUUUGAUUUACAGUAGUUAUUACAAUCAUGUUAGAGAGUAUUCAUCUUUUAUAACAGAAACCUACUGGUUCAUAAGGUCUUUACAAAAGUUGUUUUUGGAAAUAAUCUGAUUUAUGCAGCAUUUAGAAGUCUGUAUCUGUUGAGAAUGAAGCGUUUAAAGUGAACAACUGAGUUUGAACUUAAAUAAAAG